rnacentral:lncRNA from 1 species
GUGCUUUGCCCUGGAUGCGGCCGGAACCCGUCAGCCUCACUGAGGGGCAGGAGGGCACUGACAUGGGGUUCUUCCAUGAAGUGCCGGGGGAUGUGGGAAUCUUGCCAGAGCUGAGCGUGUCGUGUUCCAACACCAGCGGCCGAGGUUGGCUGCGGUUCUUGUCUCAGACGGGGGUGUGCAGUGUUGGACGCUGUGUGCACCUUUGUCAGGACACUGUUUCAGAAGCCACCAUUCCCUCCUGCGGCUCUCACGUGUCUCAGUGACCAUAUAGCGACAGCAGUAGUUCCUUCUCAGUUUGCUUGCAAGGAAACUGUUUUUAAAAGAGAAAACAAGCUACAUUUUAUAUUCCCCUUGUUAGGACAGACAGGCUUGUCUAUCCAGGUCAAAGGUCACGCCCCCAAGGCAUUUCUGUAGUGAAGAGCAGAGUUCCGUCUCCACACUGGCCCCUAGGAACUGGAGUGCUUUGCUCCUCUGUGCUCCUGGUAGAGAAGUUCCUGGCUUGAGAAGUGGCGGUGUAAUGGGGACACAGGGCAGCACAGGCUGCCUAACUUCACAAGGCAGAAGAGAUGGCGGGCUGCUGUAAUGCUCACAAGCAGGGCUUGCUUUUUUUUUCUUUCUAAAAUUCGUUUCGCAUUCAUUUUUGUACAUCACACAUCUAUCUCCAGAAGGAGAAUGAACAUUAUAGGUAUAUAAUGUGGAGCUGGUGCAGGGAAGAUCUGAAGGAAGAAGGCGUAUGAGGCGCUGAUGGCUGGCCAGUCAAAACCAGAAGCGUUUUCCUUAGGACAGUUGUGACCAUCCGGCCCCAGUGCCCUCUCGCAUUUCCUUUAGGAAAGUCAUUCGCAUUCCCUUCUGCGAGUUACUUGUAUUUGCAGUGGUUUUCUAUCAAUGCCUUGCCUUAAUGCCCAUGCAGUGUUCUUCCAGGCAGUGUUCCAGACUUGCUGGGUGUGAGGAUGAAUGCAUGUUAGGAGCAGCCCUCUGGAGGCCGAGGGAGGAGAAUCUCGAGUGCGAGGCUGGCCUGGGCCACAUACUGAUAGCCUGUCUCACAGGAAGAAAAACUACUUAGGUAUGUCAGCACUUCUGUCCCGUAACUGUAGGUCUGUCUCAGUUGCAGUUAACUUGCUGUAUCCCGAACCUUACUGGCCUAGAGAAUUUUAUCCCAGGCAUUCUUAGAUGGAAAACAAUACUUUGGAUUUUUGUUCUAAAUUGAAGCUUGUGAAAAUAAUCACUGUAGUUAGGUGACGCCCUAAUGUUUUUUAAAGCAGAGGUGAGUUACUUAUAAGAUGGCUAAUGUGUGAAUUUCAUUUAGUCUUCCCUUAGACUUUGAGAGCCUUGUCAGGCAGGAUGGAGAAAACCCACGUGGCUUAGCUGGUAUGAAUGUGUCAUCAGGACCAUCAAGUUUCAGAUUAAGUAGUAAGACCCAGUAGAGUAAGACAUGAGAAGAAAUCACCUUCAUUGGUCUGUCGGCUGUGUUCCUCUUAGUCAUCCUUGUGUUAAUGACAGGCAGUGGCUGGGAUUUGUAGAGGGUGGGAAGGAGGAACACCAUAAGACCUGGGGAGAGGAAGUCCCCAAAAUGCUUGAGAGUGACCCAUCCUGAGGCCAGAUACAUAUUUUAAAGCCCAAGUAUUCGCCAUAGCAGGUAGACAGAUGGAGGAUGGCUGGGGAAGGAGGUUGUGGGCUGAGUUUAGGGGACUGCAGACACAUCUGGGCCUGGUCCUCAGCUGCUCCUUGGUGGUAAACCUCAAAAAUGGCAUGUCAGAUUGGCCACUAGAGACCUCUGACCCCAGCAGCACUGGCUUGUCCUCAGGUGUGGGUGUGUCAGAAGUCAGUGACUUCCUGGGAAAUGGUUGUUUCGGAUCACAUUGAUCUUUCCUUUUGUCUUUCACCGUAUGGUAGGACUUGAAUCAGUUUUGAUUCUGUGUGUACGUUCUCUUCGUUUGGAACCUGGCGUUUCUGUCUGUUCUUGGCAGUGCAUAGGAACCCAGCCUCCUGUAUUUUGACCCUCCUGCAGGCACUGUGGGACCCAAGGGUAGCAGAUCCAUCUCCCGUCCCUUGCUGCAUGAUGGUCACUAGCUGAUCUGUGAUGGCAUCCCUCCCUCAUUGAUUUUCUGUGUUUGAAGUAUGUGCACAUGUGCUUUACAGAAUAAAACAUCUGGAUUUA